GACGAACGCUGGCGGCGUGCUUAACACAUGCAAGUCGAACGGAAAGGCCCUGCUUGCAGGGUACUCGAGUGGCGAACGGGUGAGUAACACGUGGGUGAUCUGCCCUGCACUUCGGGAUAAGCCUGGGAAACUGGGUCUAAUACCGGAUAGGAGCCAUUUUUAGUGCGAUGGUUGGAAAGUUUUUUCGGUGUAGGAUGAGCUCGCGGCCUAUCAGCUUGUUGGUGGGGUAAUGGCCUACCAAGGCGGCGACGGGUAGCCGGCCUGAGAGGGUGGACGGCCACAUUGGGACUGAGAGACGGCCCAGACGCCUACGGGAGGCAGCAGUGGGGAAUAUUGCACAAGGGGCGCAAGCCUGAUGCAGCGACGCCGCGUGGGGGAUGACGGCCUUCGGGUUGUAAACUCCUUUCGCUAGGGACGAAGCUUUUUGUGACGGUACCUAGAUAAGAAGCACCGGCUAACUACGUG
rnacentral:rRNA from 1 species